GACGAACGCUGGCGGCGUGCUUAACACAUGCAAGUCGAACGGAAAGGCCCCGCUUUUGUGGGGUGCUCGAGUGGCGAACGGGUGAGUAACACGUGAGUAACCUGCCCUUGACUUUGGGAUAACUUCAGGAAACUGGGGCUAAUACCGGAUAGGAGCUCCUGCUGCAUGGUGGGGGUUGGAAAGUUUCGGCGGUUGGGGAUGGACUCGCGGCUUAUCAGCUUGUUGGUGGGGUAGUGGCUUACCAAGGCUUUGACGGGUAGCCGGCCUGAGAGGGUGACCGGCCACAUUGGGACUGAGAUACGGCCCAGACUCCUACGGGAGGCAGCAGUGGGGAAUAUUGAACAAUGGGCGGAAGCCUGAUGCAGCAACGCCGCGUGCGGGAUGACGGCCUUCGGGUUGUAAACCGCUUUCGCCUGUGACGAAGCGUGAGUGACGGUAAUGGGUAAAGAAGCACCGGCUAACUACGUG
rnacentral:rRNA from 1 species